rnacentral:rRNA from 1 species
AGUGAACGCUGGCGGUAGGCCUAACACAUGCAAGUCGAACGGCAGCACAGUAAGAGCUUGCUCUCACGGGUGGCGAAUGGCGGACGGGUGAGGAAUACAUCGGAAUCUACUUUUUCGCGGGGGAUAAUGCAGGGAAACUCACGCUAAUACCGCAUACGACCUACGGGUGAAAGCAGGGGAUCUUCGGACCUUGCGCGAUUGAAUGAGCCGAUGUCGGAUUAGCUAGUUGGCGGGGUAAAGGCCCACCAAGGCGACGAUCCGUAGCUGGUCUGAGAGGAUGAUCAGCCACACUUGAACUGAGACACGGUCCAAACUCCUACGGGAGGCAGCAGUGGGGAAUAUUGGACAAGGGGCGCUAGCCUGAUCCAGCCAUACCGCGUGGGUGAAGAAGGCCUUCGGGUUGUAAAGGCCUUUGUUGGGAAAGAAAAGCAGCAGGUUAAUCCCCCGCUGUUCUGACGGUACCCAAAGAAUAAGCACCGGCUAACUUCGUG